UCCUGGUUACCCAGGCAGUCUCGUUAGAGUUCCCACCCGAAGUGUUGGCAACUAACGAUAGGGGUUGCGCUCGUUGGGGGACUUAACCCUACACCUCACGGCACGAGCUGACGACAGCCAUGCAGCACCUGUGCCAGCGGCCCUUGCGGGAGGCGACAUCUCUGCCGCGGUCCACUGGCAUGUCAAACCUGGGUAAGGUUCUUCGUUUACCAUCGAAUUAAACCACAUGCUCCACUGCUUGUGCGAGCCCCCGUCAAUUCUUUUGAGUUUCAUCCUUGCGAACGUACUCCUCAGGCGGCAUACUUACCGCGUUAGCUACGACACGGCUGGGGUUGAAGCCAGCCACAUCAAGUAUGCAUAGUUUAAGGCAAGGACUAC
rnacentral:misc_RNA from 1 species